GCUGGGCGCAGUGGCUCAUGCCUGUAAUCCCAGCACCCUGGGAGGCUGAGGCGGGUGGAUCACCUGAGGUCAGGAGUUCUGGACCAGCCUGACCGACAUGGUGAAACCCUGUCUCUA
rnacentral:sRNA from 1 species